CAAAGGAAUAGACGGGGGCCCGCACAAGCGGAGGAACAUGUGGUUUAAUUCGAUGAUACGCGAGGAACCUUACCCGGGCUCGAACGGUGCAUGAAUGGACAAGAGAUUGUUCAGACCUUAGGGACAUGUAUCGAGGUGCUGCAUGGUUGUCGUCAGCUCGUGCCGUGAGGUGUCGGCUUAAGUGCCAUAACGAGCGCAACCCUUGUCAUUAGUUACCAUCAGGUAGAGCUGGGGACUCUAAUGAGACUGCCACCGUAAGGUGAGAGGAAGGGGGGGAUGACGUCAAAUCAGCA
rnacentral:rRNA from 1 species